GCAUGGCUGAAUACUUUCUUUAAAUUCUAUGUUCUUUUUAUCAGUAGCUAAUACCAUGCAAAAGUAAAGUCUUCCCUUUCAAAUGGCUAUGAUAAUAUGUCAACUUUUUUUCAGAGUAUCACUACUAAAAGUGGAUACAAAU